rnacentral:sRNA from 25 species
GUCAGUAACUCAGCCCUAAAGGGACUGAGCUUGUAAGAAGUUGCAAGCUGUACUGACCAGUCUAAGUCUUCACUGACUACGUUUUUUGAGUCACGACACCCUGGAAUGCGAAGCUAGUUCCCUGCUCUGUC